rnacentral:lncRNA from 1 species
GGAAAACUCAUUUUUGGAGCGGUUCUGUGGAUUAUUGUUAGGAGCCUUUUCUAUCAUUUUUGCUUACUAGCCAUUAUCAUCAUCAUAAACACCAUCCUCUAUCUAUCCAUCUCUCUCUCUCUCUCUCUCUCUCUCUCUCUCUCUCUCUCUCUCUCUCUCUCUCGCUCUCUCUCUCUCUCUCCCUCCCUCCCUCCCCCCUGGCUUGUAGUGUUGAAGAUGUGAAGAGGCUCAUAGUGAUUAUCCAGUGGUUAACUGUCAAUGACCAGACAUAGCUAUGAGAUCUGAAGGCUUGCCCAGAAACAUUUGUUUCUUUUAAGAUAUGUUUAUUGAAUCUUAAAUCAUUUUUGUUCCUUAGUUAUUCUAUGGUUGUAUUUUCUUGGUUUCCACAUAUUUAUUAUGCUCCUCCUUUAUUAUGUCCUUUAUUUACCAUUGCUUCGAAGUUGCGACUGCAUUUCAUUGUAGUAGUGAUGCUGUGUUGACGAUCAGAUCUACUCUUUUGUCUAUUCUGUGCGUCUGCAUGAUAUAACUGCAUAUGCCCACUCGUUUUUGUUUAUUGUUUUUAACCAUGUUUUCUAGUGUAUCUAUUUUGCUGCCUCAGGAAGAUGGUUCAAUGUUUAUUAGCCUAAUGAUGGAAAACUCAUUUUUGGAGCGGUUCUGUGGAUUAUUGUUAGGAGCCUUUUCUAUCAUUUUUGCUGUACUAGCCAUUAUCAUCAUCAUAAACACCAUCCUCUCUCUCUGUCUCUCUGUCUCUCUGUCUCUCUCUCUCACUCUCUCUCUGUCUCUCUCUCUCUCUCUGUGGCUUGUACGGUUGGAGAUGUGAAGAGGCUCGUAGUGAUAAUCCAGUGGUUAACCGUCAAUGACCAGAUAUAGCUAUGAGAUCUGAAGGCUUGCCCAGAGACAUUUGUUCCUUUUAAGAUAUGGUUAUUGAAUCUUAAAUCAUUUUUGUUCCUCAGUUAUUCUAUGGUUGUAUUUUCUUGGUUUCCACAUUUUUUACACUCCUCCUUUAUUAUGUCCUUUAUUUACCAUUGCAUCAAAGUUGCGACUGCGUUUUGUUGUAGUAGUGAUGCUGUGUUAACGAUCAGAUCUACUCUUUUGUCUAUUCUGUGUCUCCAUGAUAUAACUGUAGAUGCCCACUCGUUUUUGUUUUUUUUAAACUGUGUUUUCUAGUGUAGCUAUUUUGCUGCCUCAGGACGAUGGUUCAAUUUUUAUUAGCCUAAUGAUGGAAAACUCAUUUUUGGAGCGGUUCUGUGGAUUAUUGUUAGGAGCCUUUUCUAUCAUUUUUGCUUACUAGCCAUUAUCAUCAUCAUAAACACCAUCCUCUAUCUAUCCAUCUCUCUCUCUCUCUCUCUCUCUCUCUCUCUCUCUCUCUCUCGCGCGGGCGUGUAGAGAUGAAGAUAAAAAGAGGCUCAUAGUGAUAAUCCAGUGGUUAAAUGUCAAUGAAUAUAUAUAGCUAUGAGAUCUGAAGGCUUGUCUAUAGACAUUUUUUGUCCUUCUAAGAUAUGCUUAUUAAAUUGUAAAUCACUUUUCGUCCUUAGUUAUUCUAUGGUGUUUUAUCUUCAUUUCUACAUAUCUAUUACGCUCCUCUUUAUUAUGCCCCUUAUUGACCAUUAUAUGGAAUUUGUGACUGCAUUUCGUUUUAAACAUUUGCACUGAAUAAUAUGUAUUUCCCAUGUGGUGCAAAUAUCCUUCCCAAGGUGCCCUUGAAACGCUGAUAAAAUUAAUGUGAUGGAACUUCAGUCAACUGCAAAUAGUAGAGCGUCCUGGAAUGUGGUUAUUUUGACAUUGUCAAUGGCACAGUUAAGAGUUUCAAUUGGUUUGUUUUUCUUUUGGUUUGGUGUGACUAUUUGGCAACUAUUGUAUGAAAUUUUGUUUGCUAGUGCUAGUUUAGAUAUUUAAGGUGUAUGGCUAACUGUAUGAGAUUCCAUAGAUUAAAUUGUGUUUGAUGGUAGAUUCCAUUUUAGUACUCCAUUGAUCUGAUCUUUGUUGGAAUUCAAAUAAAAGGUGAAGUUAUUAUUGUAGGUUUGAGCAUAUGAGACUUUAAAAAACAACGCUGUACUAAUGAUCAGAUCUAGUGUCUUUUGUUUAUUCUGUGCCUUUCCACGUUCUACUUGUGGUUGUCUGAGUUUAUAUUUCUUGCCUUUUUUAUUUUUUGGGAUUACCUUGUAAUGUAAUCUAACAAAUUUGCUGCCUCAGAAAAUUGGUGCAAUUUUUUAUUAGCCUGGUGAUGGAAACCUCUUUUUUUUGUUAUGAUUUUUAUAGCACUUUAUAUUAUAAGACUGCAGGUACCUGAAUAGUUUUUUGUAACACAGUUUCUUAUUACUUUCAAUGAGCUUUAAAAUUUAAAUCUGGUUUUCAUUUGUGAAGUACAGAACAGUUAUGAACUGUUUGAGUACCUUUGAGCUUACUUGAUGUCUCAAUUUUCUUACUAGAUAUAUUUAUAUAAACUAAAAUCUUUAGAAUAUUUAAGAAUAUAUAUUAAUUUAUAAUUUAUAUAUUAAUUAUUUAAUUGAAAUGUAAUUUAAUGGUGUCAGGCAUUUGAUGUCAAGUUGGUUCAAAAUCCGCCAAUGUCUAUGACCAUGGUUUGUAUUAUGGCUUGUUGUGUAUAAUGGCAUAGUUUUUAAGUGGAUUUUAAAAUUUUCUUUUCCGUGGUCUGGGUUAAUUGCUAAGUGGGACUUUGGUGAACAAUGAUACAUGCAUUGGGCUUGGAGCAGUUUAUGACUGCAGCCAUUGAUGGAAAUGCAACCUAGAAAGCUAUAUAUGACCCCUGUAGAAAUCCUUGCAUUCCUGUGAUACGGGUGUUGCAAUGUUAGGAUGAAAUUUUUAUCUGCUAGUUGUAGGGGUAUGGCUGACUGCAAGAGAUUCCAUACAAGUAAAUUGUGUUUAUCUGGUAUAUUUUCAAAUUGGGUGUUCAGGACAUGGUGUUGAUUGAAAAUCUACUCAUGCUCAUGGCUACGGUCGUAUUUGUGGCGAGUAAUUUAUAGUGAAUUGGUAUUAAAAUCGAGUGAUGUACAUGCAUGCACUGAGCUCCGAGCUGUGGUUAUUGAUGGAAAUGCAGGCAGCUUAGAAAACUAUAUAUGAGCCUCCAUGAAAUCCUUUUGCUUUUCUGUUCGCAGGUGUUGGAUUUAAAAUGAAAUUUCUGUUUGGGCUAGAUUGGAUUCUUAAGGUAUGGAUUGGACUUUGUAGUAUUAAACUGUGUAUGGAAGUGGAUUUUGUGUGAUUACAAUCAUUGGAUCAGUUGCACUCCUUUGGCCUGAUGAUGGAAAACUCAUUUCUGGGAGCGGUACUAUGGAUUAUUAUAAGUAUGAGCCUUUUCUAUCAUUCUUUCCAUGCUAGUCCUCAUCAUCAUCAUCAUCAUCAUCAUCAUCACCACCACUCUCUUUCUCUCUCUCUCUCUCUCUCUCUCUCUCUCUCUCUCUCUGUGGCAUGCAUGGCCGAAGAUGUGAAGAGGCUCAUACUGAUAAUCCAGCAGCUAACCGUCGAUGACCAGAUAUAGCUAUGAGAUCUGAAGGCUUA